UACGCAGGGUCCGAGCGUUGUCCGGAAUUACUGGGCGUAAAGCGCGCGCAGGCGGCCCGCGAGGUGUCACGUGAAAGCCCCGGGCUCAACCCGGGAGGGUCGUGGCAAACCGGCGGGCUUGAGGCCGGUAGAGGUGGGUGGAACUCCUGGUGGAGUGGUGAAAUGCGUAGAGAUCAGGAAGAACACCCGUGGCGAAGGCGGCCCACUGGGCCGGUACUGACGCUGAGGCGCGAAGGCGUGGGGAGCGAACGGG
rnacentral:rRNA from 1 species